CACAUCAUAGGUUGGUUGUUGUUGUUGCUGCUAUUAUUAUUUAAGUUUUACAAUAGCAUUAUGGCAAGGGAGCAUGGCACAGUGCCUAGCACAUAGUAGCUGCUCAUUAAAUAUUUAAUGCCUAAGAAAUGAGCAAGGCAGAAAAUUGCAACCUCAUUUUAAAGAAGAACAAAGUGAAAUGCUGAAAGCCUGGGGACCUGCUCACAGCUGCAGGGCACUGAGUAUGGACCCCAUUCCCACUAAUUCUGGGUCCAGUGCUUCCCUGAGCUCUCUGGAGCAGAGAAGGGAGAGGGGUAAAAAGGACAUACGGAGAAUUUCAAAAACCAGAGACCCUGGAAACAGGAAGAGGGAAAUCAAGUCAAGAGGAGGAUCUUGAGCCCUUCAGGGGCUGAGGUUGAAUCUGGUACAACAUCUCUGCCUGUAUCUGGUGCCCAGCCUAGAAGCUGGUGUAGAUGAGGGGCCAGGAAAGGGAUGGAGGAUCCUGCAGCAUGGCCUGGGAAUUCAGGACUUCAACGACAAUGAAGAAGAAAUACUGCCAAGAGCUGAGGUACCACUGGCAUCACUUGGGCCUGUGCCAUUCUGCCCACAUCCCCUUGGAAGUACAGAAUGGAGUACAGAAUCCCCCUCCUAUCUGGACUAGGCAGGGAGUUGAGGUGUGAUGAGGCCUUGCCAGCCGCUCUUCAUGGUGGGAAUACAUUCAAAUCCAGCCUCACCUGGAUAUCCCCCAGGAAUUGUGAGCCCACCAGUACCCAGCACCAUCUGCCUUCCUCUGGCUUAUCAGCCUUUUAGUGAUGAAAGGGGGACCAGCCCAUGACGAGGGAUGGUUGCCAUCUGAAAUGGUCAUCUUAGCAGAAACCAUGAAACAAACCUUCAUUUACAUGGACAAUAAUGCUAACAACAUUUAGAAAAAGGUUUGGAAUGUUGCCCCAGACUCCCUCAAAUCAACAAAAUAUGGAAUCUAGCAGUGACCCUUAUGAAAUACACAGGCCUGAAGGUAGAUUGGUUCCUACGGACAAGAAAAUAAUAUUUCUUUUUCAUUUCCAGCCUAGAAAAUUUGGCCAGCAUCCCAGCUGGCCACAGUACACAGAAGUCAGUUCAAAUAGAGAUUCCUGCCUCCCCUUGUUUGCAAGAGUUACUUGUAUAAAAACAGUCAACAAACGAAUCAGCCAGAUGAGCUUUCCUUCCUUUAUUCAGUCAGACAGUGUUUUAUGUCGGGAAUCCAUGUAGAAACAAAUUCAUGUGCUAGGUGCUGAUGAGAAACCUGAAUUUGCUGGUCUGGUUAUAUAAACUGUGCUGAGAUAGGCUGAAGGGAGAAGGCCCAGUGGAGAGCCAACCUGCAGUCGACUCUCUUCUGCACAUCAGCAAUAAGACUUGCAGCCUGGUGGCCAGUAUGGACCGUCCAUUCCUCUUUCUACGGCAGCUAAUAUUCAUCAAGGUCGUUGAUGUGCCAGGCAUUGUGCAAAGUUCUUUGCACGUACUGCCUCAUUUUGUCUCACAGCAGCCUUACGAAGUGGGCUAUUCUCUAAGGCUCAUCUCUAAGGCUCGGAAACAGAGAUAAUGCAUCUGAAGUCAUGAAGCUGAAGUGCCUUUUACCACCCGCUGUGAGUCUGAGGCCUCCCCAGCCAUGAGGAACUGUAAGUCCAAUUAAACUUCUUUUUCUUUCCAGUCUUGGGUAUGUCUUUAUCAGCAGCAUGAAAACCGACUAAUACACCAGGUUCAAGGUGAUGCUGUUCUCAUUCCACAAAUACAGUGUUGGCUGAAUCAGUCAGCAGGAUGCCUGGUCCUCCCCAGCCGCAGCUGAGCCUAGAGUCUAUCUCCUCAUUCGAUCAAAUUUGGGGGAAGGCCAGAGUGAAUCUACCUCCCAUUUACAGACAUAAACUUACUCAUUAACUCCUCACAGUAACUCUAUGAGAUAGGCAUUACCCCUACUUUGUAGAUGCCAAAAUUAAGGCCUAGUGAGAAUUAAUGAAAAUUACCUAAAUAUCUGAAUAUAGGGGACUGCUUUCAGUGAAUUGCUACAUUAUUCCUUUCAAGAACAUGUGGUGAUACAAACUAACUGUUGGCAAAGCGUUGCCAAGCACUGGUCCUGCUGGAUCCCCAUUAACUGGAGAAAUAAGGCUUAUCUGCAAUUAGCUCAUUCAUUGUAUGCAAAUGAUACUAAUAGCUUGAAAACAGUGUGUUCUCUUAAGUAGGUUAAACAUUCCCUUCUGAAAUCUUGUUUAUACUAUUUGAGCAACAAACUCUUCUUUUUUUCUUUCUUUUUUUGAGACAGAGUCUCCUUCUGUUGCCCAGGCUGGAGUGCAGUGGCGUGAACUUGGCUCACUGCAACCUCCGCCUCCCGGAUUCAAGCGAUUCUCCUGCCUCAGGCUCCCCCGUAGCGACUAAAGGCAUGCACCACCACACCCAGCUAAUUUUUUAUUUUUAGUACAGACAGGGUUUCAUUAUGCUGGCCAGGCUGGUCUUGAACUCCUGACCUCAGGUGAUCCACCCACCUCAGCCCCCUCAAAGUGCUGGGAUUACAGGCAUGAGCCACCGUGCCUGGCCCAAACUCUUCUUUUAUGGAGCAAGACAAACUCAGCCAGACCAGGCUGGGAGAAGGAUUACAAAUUGUCACUCAUUUGAGAUGAGACAUGGAGGUGUUGACAAGUGCUUGCCAACCUCACUAAUGGGAACCCAUGGAACAGAGGGCCAGCAAGAUUCAGCAUCACCUGAAUUAUUAAGCAUUUGUUGAGAGAUGAAAAUGGCUUCUUUUCUACCACCUGGAGAAACUCAAACUUUUUGCCAACGAAGUCUUGCCAACUGGAUGUCCUGCUGGGCCUACUUUAAUGAACAGAUAAGACUCCAUUUUAAUUAGCACACUAAUUGUUUCCAUGCAAAUGAAUGUGGGGAAAGAUCUUGCAAACAGUUUAUUUCCUUAAGUGGGUUACCAUGGUGCCCCCUGUAGCCCUGUGUAGGGGGCUCAAUUGCACAGCCAACUGUUUUGUUCAUUGAAGAGCACAAAUCCAGCUCAUCAAGCAUCUCCUGAACACAGCCCCUGUGCUGGGCUCUGUGCAAGAGUUGGGGAAUAAACCACACCCAGACCCUAUCUUCUAGGAGCCCACUGUAGAAGUCAAAGGUGAGAGUUGCUAAACUCUGUUGGGUAGAGCUCCUGGUUGUAAGCAACAGAAAUAAAUUCAGGAUAAUUGAUACAAAACAGAUGUAUUGGAGAGGUUAGGGGCAGAGGCAGGCCGGGCAGCAGGAGCCAUCUGGUAGGUACGCUGCCACUACUCAGACUCACCUCUGCCUGCCCCUGUGUCCUUGUGGCAUCAAGGCCAUUGCCUCUUGCCCGGAUGACCUCUGUAUUCUUCUCGCUGGUAUCCUGACUUCCCCUCUGGCCACCCCGCAAUACAUUCUCUCCAUGGCAACCAGAGGACACAUUUAAAACUGAAACUAGACAAUGCCACUGAAGGAAACCAAAAUAUUUCUCUCCAACAUAGGAUUUAUGGGUCUUUGUUAAAAUACCAUUCAGGCAAAACUCCUAAGCCACUGCCUUAAGAGAGAAAUACUUUUGAACUGAAGCCUCACCCACAUGAUGGGUAUAGCAUGUGUUAAUAAACUUCAGUUUGUUUUUCUUCUGUUAAUCUGACUUUUGUUUUCAGGAGAGUAUCUCAACUAUGGGCCUAAGAAGAGAAAGAAAAAAAAUUGUGAUUUCUUCCCUAGACCACCAGUGUGUGCCAAAACCUCUGAAGACCCAGUGUCCAGAGUUUGGUUUUCAAUAUUCUUCUCUAAAAAAAUAAACCACUGCUACCUGGAGAAAUGUCUGGUCCUAAGACUGGGCUGGAAAUACAGAAGAUGAGUCUGCGUCAGAGUAAGAAAAUGCUAAAAAGAAAUCAGUGAGGGUGUACCAAAAGGACAGAGGUGCCAACUGAAAGAGCUCCUCAUGGCCCAAACUAGAUAAUCUGAUUAAGGAAUUAAACAAUGUAGUAUUGCAGUAUAACUCAAAGUAUAAAGAAAAUAUCUAUGAUAUCUGUAUCUAUAAUAUCUAUGAGUCUGUACUGAUAUAAAUAGAUGAUUGAAUAAGUAAAUAAAUAAGGAAGAAUAGAUGAAUCUGCCACAGAGACGAGUUCCAAAUAAUUUUUGUAGAUACUCCCUGCAUCAAGGAGGCAGAACAUGACACUUCACCCUAUAAGCUGCAAACAGUGACUUCCUUCUCUAGGGUAGAGUAUGGCAAGGGGAAAAAAGAAUAGGUUCACAGCAGAGAAAUGUGGCAAACACCACCUCAGCCAGGUGAUCAAGGUCCGCAUCAACAGUAAUAAGUUGUGUUAGUAGCAUGCACUCUUAAUAUCAUAUGAGGAGAAGGGCACUUUACCUCUGUGGUCUUCCUCCUAAAACCCGUAAGCCCAGUCAAGAAACCCAUAACUCCAUGAGAAAAACAUCAACCAAAACCAUGUUGAAAAGACAGUCUACAAAACACUUGACCAGCAGUCCUCAAAACUGUCAAGAACACCAAAAACAAGGAAGCUCUGGAAAACUGAGGAAGGAAAUGAGAUUUAGCUCUAGGGGUGGGGCUCGGACACUAGACCAAAUUGAGGACUAGCUAAAACAGGUCAGGGUGGAAGCAGCUUUCUGUAAGAUCCGCCCAUCAGUGUGCCUUGUCAGUUUACCAUGGCCACCUGGAAGUUACUACCCAUUUCCAUGGCAACAACCCAACAACCUGGAAGUUGCCACCCUUUUUCCUAGAAAUUUUUGCAUAAACCACCCCAUUUUCUUUUUUGAGGUGGAGUCUUGUUCUAUCGCCCAGGCUGGAGUGCAAUGGCAUGAUCUUGGCUCACUGCAACCUCUGCCUCCCGGGUUCAAGCUAUCCUCCCACCUCAGCCUCCCAGUAGCUGAGAUUACAGGCAUGCCCAGCUAAUUUUUGUAUUUUUAGUAGAGAUGGGGUUUUGCCAUGUUGCCUAGGCUGGUCUGGAACUCCUGACCUCAAGUAAUCCACUUACCUCAGCUGGGAUUACAGGCAUGAGCCACUGUGCCCUGCCAAACCACUCCAUAAUUUGCAUGUAAUUAAAAGUGGGUAUACAUAUGAGCACAGAGUUGCCUCUGAGCUGCUACUCUGGGUGCACUACCUAUGGGGUAGCCCUGCUCUGCAGAGAGCAUUCCCGCUGCUGCUGCUGCUGUGCACUGCUGCGUCAAUAAAAGUUGCUGUUUAUCACCAUUGGUUCACCCUUGAAUUCUUUCCUGGGUGAAGAACCCUCCCAGGAUAAGCCCCAACUUGGAGGUUUGCCUGCCCUGUAUCAAAACCAUCACUACCAAGAAAAGCCUAAGAAGACAUGACAACUAGAAGUAAUGCAGUGUCUUGGAUGGAACACUGGAGUACAAAGGACAUCAGAUAAAAGGGAAAUCUGAAUCAAGUAUGGACCUUAGUUAAUCAUAAUGUAUCAAUGCUGGCUCCUUAGUUGUGACAAGUGAACCAUCCUAAUGCAACAUGUUAGCAAUAGGGCAGCGGUCCCCAGCCCUUUUGGCACCAGGGACCGGUUUCGGUUUCGUGGAAGACAAUUUUUCCAUGAACUGGGGUGGCAGGGGAUGGUUUCAGGAUGAAACUGUUUCACCUCAGAUUGCCAGGCAUUAGAUUACCAUAAGGAGCAUGCAACUCAGAUCCCUUGAAUGCACAGUUCACAAUAGGGUUCGUUCUCCUAUGAGAAUCCAGUGUUGCUGCUGAUCUGACAAGAGGCAGAGCUCAGGCAGUCAUGCUCACUCGCCCAUCGCUCACCUCUUGCUAUGCGGUCUGGUUCCUAACAGGCCAUGAACCAGUACCAGAACCCCAACAGGGGUUGAGGACCCUUGCAACAGGGGAAACUGGGUGUGGGGUAUGUGCGAUGUAUUAUCCUUGAAACUUUCCUGUACAUUUAAAACUAUUGUAAAAUAAGAUAUUUAUUGUAAAAAUUAAGUAAACAAAAUCUGCUGAAGGCUUCUCAGUGGACUAGGAAUAAAAUUCACCCUUCUUAUCUUGGCUGACAACACCUGUGUAACCUGGUCUCCUAUCCCCUCUCUGGCCACAUUGGCCUUCACUUGGGCUAGGACACAGGGCCUUUGCUCUUGGUGUUCCCUCCCCUAGAGUGCUCUUCCUCUUGUGCCUCUCUCUCUCUCUCAUCUUCCCUCCCUCCCUUUCCCCCACCCCACACUUCCUCCCUCUUGGCCAAGUCCUCCUUAUUGUUCACAUCUCAGCUUAAAUGCCACCUGUUUGGGGAAGCCACCUUGAGAAAUAUCUUAAGUGUACCCCCGCUGUCACUCUCCACCCCAGCAUUACAUUUGAUUCCUGCGCUGAAUCUGUGCCAAUCUCCCAUCAUUUUCUGUAAUUGUUCACCUGUUUAUUUCUCAGCAUCCCUAGCACAAUGGGCUCAGCCAUUCACAACAGUUCCCCUGGCACCUUGCAAGUAGUACUGGUUUAAUGAACAUCUGAUGGAUGAAGGGUGGAACCCAUGCCUGUCAAUUUGACAGGCAGAUGUGCUAGCCUUGUCACUCCCUUUGUGGACCUUGCUGCCUCUGGAAACCUUCCCUGAUGCCCACUUUGCACCCAAGCCUUGGUCUUUCAAUCCUCCAUACUCCCAUUCAUCCCUGUGGUUAAAGCAACGUGAUGCUUCUUAAAUACAGUCCCUGUCCUGGGUGUCAAACAACCUUGAAGCGAUUCUUACUCCAUGAUCGUAGUUACUUAGUUCCACGUACCCAAAAGUGCCUGUCAUUGCAUAAUUAGGAUGCACGAUGGAACAAAAUCAUCCCCAUGUUUUAUACCUCUAUCAUUUCCAACCUAUAUUUUUGUUACAACACCAAAAGUAAUUCAUGUAGCGAGAGGAUGGAGGGAGUACCUGGAGAACAGAGAGGGUGAUUUUCCUUUUGUCUUUCCCCAUGGCAAUAAGGAGGGAGCGCUGGUGACUUAGAGAAGAAAGCUAUUCAUCAUGUCCUCUGGAGAGAGCAGAUUCUCUUGCCCUGGAGCAUCCUACUGAGCUGGGUGCCGCGUUGUUUGUGGAACUUUCCAGAAUGAAUGAAAACCAGUAUGUCUUUGUGCUUAAGGCACAUUUCCAAUUUUCUGUGCUGACUGAGCAAAGAACUUCCUCAUCCUCGUGAAGGAUGCUUUGCAAAGUUAAAGACAACUUUUACUUAUGGAGGGAGCGGGAGACAGAGGGGUAUCCUUUAAUGCGUGCAGAGUUUCAGCCUGGGAUGAUGGAAAAGGAGAUGGAUAAUGACGGUGGUUGCAUGACCAUGUGAAAGUCCUUAU
rnacentral:lncRNA from 10 species